rnacentral:rRNA from 1 species
UACGUAGGGGGCUAGCGUUGUCCGGAAUCAUUGGGCGUAAAGAGCUCGUAGGCGGUUCGAUAAGUCGGACGUGAAAUCUCCACGCUCAACGUGGAGGGGCCGUUCGAUACUGUCGUGACUCGAGUCCGGUAGGGGAGUGUGGAAUUCCCGGUGUAGCGGUGAAAUGCGCAGAGAUCGGGAGGAACACCCGUAGCGAAGGCGGCACUCUGGGCCGGUACUGACGCUGAGGAGCGAAAAGCGUGGGGGAGCAAACAGGG